UGAAAUGCUUUCUCCUAGCAGUUGC
rnacentral:piRNA from 1 species